rnacentral:misc_RNA from 1 species
GGUCGCAGAAGCUUAAUAAAGUAUAGGCAUAUGAGAAUAUUUUUCAAUUUUUGUAUAUUAGUCCUUUCCCCUCAUAUCACUUACUCCAGAUCAUCUAGAGCUAGUGUUGUCUCUCAGUUUAUAGAGUUUAUAACUGAGUGAUGGAUCAAAUGGUCCCAAUCCCAAGCUUCCAUGCUGAGGCCUGCCUUUUUGAUCCCUUAUCUCCUUUUUUUUUAUUUUUUCUUUUACUCAUUGACGAGUUAGCAAAUAAAGUGGGGG